GGGGCCUUAGCUCAGCUGGGAGAGCGCCUGCUUUGCACGCAGGAGGUCUGCGGUUCGAUCCCGCUAGGCUCCA
rnacentral:tRNA from 2 species